rnacentral:rRNA from 1 species
CUCUCGGGCCACCAGGCCUGCAGCGGAAUUUUGCGUAAAGGGAAUGAUCACGCACACGCUCGCAAGGGUGUGUGUGCCCAAUGUCACAUAGCAUUCGACCUAAGUCCAGUGGUGAAACUCUGCCGAACCUUUGUUGGUUCUACAUCUCCAUGGAGGGUGAAAGACCCGUGUGGCGAAUGCACAGUGUCUGGGUUUGAUCGUUUCCCUGAGAGUCGCGUUGCUUGAGCAUGCAGCGCUAAGCAGGACGUAGACUCGUCCUAAGGCUAAAUAUUUCCACAGAACCGAUAGCGAACAAGUACCGUGAGGGAAAGUUGAAAAGAACUCUGAAGAGAGAGUUAAAAGACCGUGAAACCGUUCAGGGUAGAGACUGAUGGAUUUGGCUUUCCGGUGACGGCAAAGAGAUGAAUAAAGACGCUGCCAUGAGUUGCCGUCUCCAGUGUGUGCAGGAGAUAAAUGGAAGACAGUGGGUCUGUGGUCAGUGAAGCGGACGUUUGACAUAGCGUGUGACGGUUGUAACACACUGGGGCCAAACGGACGGGGUUUUGGCGUCGAUGAUGAGUGAGAACCUGUAUUGCCUCGCGCUGCAGUCUAUUGCUUUGAUGGCGGCCUUGAGUUCGCAUUCACUUUGAGAUCUCCUGCACCGUAGCCAUCGGAAUGCACCAACACUUUACGAGGUCAGGGUGCCGUUGCAUUCACUUGCAAUGUUGUUCACGAGUUGCAUGUCCCGAGUUUUAACGCAGUGAGGCGCCUUUGCGGGCGCCCAUCAUGUCGAUGCAUAUGUGUUUGUGUGAAGGAGUUCUGUUGCUUCCUCACCCAGCUGACAGAUUCUCCGCAGAACUUGCGUGUGAACUUUCUGGGCCACUGGUGAUGCGAUACAUUUCCCCGUUGUGUGCGUCAUACACCCGAGGCUGCACUAGCACUGCAACGUCUCGAGGCGACACAAUC